AAAGGGUCCGUAGGCGGUCAGAUAAGUCAGUGGUGAAAGCCCAUCGCUCAACGGUGGAACGGCCAUUGAUACUGUCUGACUUGAAUUAUUGGGAAGUAACUAGAAUAUGUAGUGUAGCGGUGAAAUGCUUAGAGAUUACAUGGAAUACCAAUUGCGAAGGCAGGUUACUACCAAUAUAUUGACGCUGAUGGACGAAAGCGUGGGUAGCGAACAGGAUUAGAUACCCGUGU
rnacentral:rRNA from 1 species